UCGUAAUAGCAAUAGGAGUCGCAGGGGAAGUAGAGGAAGCAUCCAAUUUUACAUUAUAUGGGGCUUUGGCACGUCGAGGAAGAGAAUAAGCUUAAGCUCUUUGCGGGAUAAGGGCGGUUAGCAAGAAGGUUUUUGAAUCAACAAAGGAAGAAUGCGCUCCUAUGGAAUCAGCUCUUGGGAAUAGAAGGGGAAUGAAGGCAAUUUGCCUUUUAUUAUUUUAUUAAAUAGAAGAGGCUAAUCGAGAUCCUAACUCGAAAGGAAUAGGGCAUUACAUUAAGUAAAAGGAUUGGGCAAAUAAAGAGGUUCUUAGAGAGCUGGUGGAAGGCUCAAGACAGAAGGAAUUUACAUAUAAUAAGAAGGAUCUCAUGUCAUGGUUCUUGUUCAAGAAUCGGGAUAGAUCCCUUUUAAAGCAGUGUCUUAUAUAAGAGGUGGUUCUACUCUCAUAUCUCCAGACAUAGCAUAUCCUAUUUCAUUUCAAGUUCCCUUAGAUGGUGAUGUGACCACGCCCCAAGCCCCAUCAAGUCCUCGUCUUGAUUCCCUCGAGCUUCCAAAGGGACCAAUGACCCGAGCUAGGUCCAAGCGAUUUCAUGAAGUUGUUUCAGCUUUGUUGUUCAAGUUUUGGAAGGAGAAUCAGCUUGCUGAAGAUGAGGAAGCUCGAUCCAACUCCUUGAAGAAACCAUGCACCUUAGUGCAAGCUAAUUUCAGCUCCAUUUUAGCUUUUCUAGCUCGUUUCAACUCCGACCAGCUCAAUUGAGCUCAUUUCAGCUCAAUCGAGCUCAAUUUAGCUACAAUUCAGCUCAUUUAUUUUAUUGGUUGAAUAAUUAAAGUAUUUUAUUAACUUAGUUUAAGUUAUUACAGCUCAUAAUUAUGUUUUGAUUUAUUUCAUGCUUUUAAAGUUGUCUUAGCCAAAUAUAAUAUGUUUAGCUUAAGACUUUAUUUUUGUCUAUUUUAAAUUUAUGUGUUAAUUAAUAUAUCUAUUUUAAUUAAUUUGUUCAUGUUUCAUGUAGGUACAGCCGAAUGUGGAGAUUCAUUCAAGCUAGGUGCAUGAACGUCUACUUACAAUGCAUGAUGUGGGAACACAAUUAAAGAUGAUUCAUGAAUGGGCUGGUUCAAUGAACGUAAGGAUGAUGCAUGAAUGAUUUAAUACAAUGAAUGGAAGAAUGCAUGAAUGUUCACUUACAUGCAUCGGUUGCUGUCCAUUGAUCUCCUAAGUACCUAUUCGGCCAAAAGGCAUCUCUUGGAGUGUCCAUUCACACCUUGGCCGAACCUAGACAUGUCCAUUGCUCUCCCAUACAUUCACCAAGCCUUCAAGUUCAUUUCCUUAGCCAUGAAGCUGCCCAUUGAAGUACCAUUCAGCUGAAUUUGGACAUAGCCUUUAAAGAUACAUUUCUAGAUUAGUUUAAUUCAAUUAAAGCCGAAUUUACUUAGUCUAUUUGGCUAUCUAAUGUAAUCUAUAAAUAGUUCUUUUCUCUUUGUAAAAAGGUUACAGAAUUUGAUCAAUUAAACUUAAUAGAACUUUUGUUCUUGUGAGGUUACCUCCUGAUACGGUGUUACGCGCGGACCAAGAUUGAGUUGCCAAGUCACGGGAAACUCCUACGAAAACCCUAAACAAUUAGAUCUAAAACGAAAUAGAAAAUUAAAAGAUUAGAUUUUUGAAUUUUUAGAUCUGAAAUAAAAUCCCCAAAUCAGCAAAGAAUCAAAUUGAGAAUAGAAAUAAGUGUUAGGGUUCUUGAAACCCUCAAGGAGAUUGUGAUUCUGCCCAAUUGAACACCAAGAUAGUUUUCCCCAAAUUUCGACAAUCUAAUUUCACCCAAAAAGAGUAUGGAAAAACCCUAGAAAUUGGGGAUUUUUGGGCUGAUUCCUUAAGAUAGAAAAAGGCUGAAAACACAAUAAGAACAGAAAAUAGAUUAGAUAAUGAUUCAGCACAAGUAGAAAUAAAGAAAGAAUUGACAGUAAGAAAUUAAAAGAUAAGUCCUAAGAAGCCUUGAAAUCUCGAAAGAUCUCACACUCCCUUCAAACGGCUCUAAUCUCCCCUCCAAAGAAUAUCAAUGGCAAGAAGAAGGUUGAAGAUGGCUCCUACAAUCACAAGAUUGUUAAAACAACUUCUAAAGAAAACUCAAGAGAGAAAUCUUGGAGAAAACUCAAAGAAAAUUCUGCUCUCAACAAAUCUGAAAUUUUAAUAAUAAUGAUAAGUGUUUUACAAGGUGGACAGCCAUGCCUUUAAAUAGGCAUUAUAACUAGUCCUAAUCUAAUUAGAAAACUAAAAUAAAAAAACUCCUAAUUAUUUUAAUAUGGAAAUUCGGUCAAAGGUCAUUUUAUCUGGGACUCUUGGACUGAAUAUUGACAUAAAAAUUUAAACUAAGUAAAUAAAUAAAUAAAUAAAUAAAAAUAAAAAUAAAACUUUACAACUUGGGCCACUUUGACAAUUUGGCCUGAUUUUCAACUAAGUAUGGAUGGAUUUCUUGAUUGGGCUGGGAAUUUGCUUAUUGGGCCUCGCCUUCAAGAAUUUGGGCUUUUGUGACUCGUAUCACCUCCUCUCUUCUUUCGUUCGAGUCUCGAAGCGACUUAUCUAGCUUGCUAGUGGUGUCAAUCCGAACUCCAUUGAACUUAUCACCGAAUCGGUGUGGCGUUCAACCAUCUUCCUAUACCUUUGGUUCUUACCUCCAUAUAGGUAACGGGUCAAGGUCCGCUUCUAUCCUUCAUCAAAAUUCACCUUAAGCAAUAUAAGACUCGGGGUAAUACUUUUUAGUAUUGAAUCAUUCUUAAAGUUUGAGUUCUUUAUCCAUUUCCAUUUAUUUAACAUCUUUGUAACUUAAUUCUUUGUUAAACCGAACCUAUCUUUCAUCAAACCAAAACCCAUCCUUUGAACCCAUUUUGCCUACCUUCCGCUUAUAAAACAUUCAAACUCCAUCUAUCUACAAAUUUGAACGAGCUUCUCGUCGACGAUCGGGCAUCUUAAGUGAACCCGACUCAAUUAAUCAGGACGGAUCACAUCAUUUGGUAUCAGAGCUACUAAAACGAGGAGCGCCGACGUUCGUAAUAAGGCCGCAAGUAGGUUCGAAACGUGAAAAAAAAAUCAAAAAAAAUUAGAGUUGUAAUUUAAUUUUUUUUCCCUUGUAUUUAGCUUACUAUUGUAUUGGAGUAACAAAAAAAUCAAAAAAAAAUUCGAAAAAAAAUUGAUUGAAAAAAAAAUGAAAAAAAAAUCGAGAAAAAAAAAGGUGAGCAAAAAAAUCAAGUUAAAAAAAAGUGAAAAGUCUUGCGAGUUUUUAUUUUAUUUUAUUUUUCUCUCUUAUUUGCUCCGAUAAUCAAGUUUCCCUUCCUACCAUUAUUUACCCAUCCCAACGCCACACUUAGCCUUGAUUUUAUUUUGUUUAGCCUACCCUACACCCACAUCAUUCCUUUGUAACCUAUUUUGAAACCGACCCUCAAGCAGCAAAUUAAGUCUAUCGAGACGAAUUACGAAAUUGUGAGACGAGGUCAAGAGGUAAAAGGCACGUGUGUUUUACAUCAAAGAAAAAGCCUAGAAGAGUGUAAACACGAGUGCGAGUGAAAAUCAUUAUUUCUUUGUGAGAGAUUGGUGAGGAUUUUGAAUUGGUGAGGUUCAUUUACUAUUUAUUCUAUCUUUCGAUUUUCGAACAUUUUCUUGAAUCAUGUCUCAAGAAGAAUUCUCUACCGAUGAAUUUCAAUACUUGGUGAACGAGAUGGGCCGAAUAUUGGAGGAAAAACUAAGCCCAUUAAAAAGACGUUUGGACCGAGUGGAGGAAAAAGCCCGACGGAAGCAAACUCCACCGAGUCGAGAAAUAGAGUUAAGUUCAUCACGACGACAUUUUUCGAGAAGAGACACAUAUCAAGACUCCUAUUCAACAAGGCUUUCGAGACCGCGAGAAGAAAACUUCGAGUCAAAAAUCACUCGAGAUGAGCGAGAAAGGACGAGCUAUUCCUCGUAUGCUUCAAAGAAGUCCUUACCAAAGGAUUGUUCUCGAAGAAAUGGACGAGAAGCUUAUGAAAAUAUUUUCUCUUUCUUUGAGCCAAAUGAUUAUCUCUUUGAUUCUUUCGUGUCAUCCGCACAUUGUAGUGAAAAAGAAAAAGAAAUCAAAAUAGUGAGUGAAAAAGAAAAUGAAGAAAAGAAAAUUGAAAAAGAAAUUGAGAUUGAGAAAAAAAUUAAAAAAGAAAAAGAUGUUGAAGAAGAAACGAGAGAAAAUGAAGAUAGUGAGCGAGAACAAGAAAAGGAGAACGAAAUUUUAACUAACCCCCGUGAUGUUUGUUUUUGUUCUGUUCCUUCUUUUCAGGUUUCGACAAAUCUCUGUGACGAAUAUCAACUUCAAUAUCUUCCUAACGAGCGACGUUUUUGCAUGACCAAAAAAGGUAAGGAUGAAGUUGAAAUCAAACCACACGAGCUUGAAGGUAAGCGAGGUAAGGAAGUUUUAAAAACCGAGUCAUAGCCAUCAAGUUUGAAAGUUGUUGAAAAUGACUUUGUUUUAAAAAAAUUCUCUUAUUUUCAUUCGAUUAAUUUCUAUUCUUUGAAUGUGGUUGAUGUUGUUCGGUACGAACGACAAACUAAAGAUUUGGUUUUGCAUGAUGUCGGGUUUUCACGAAAAGCGAUUCAAUUUUUCAAAUAUGAUAAUUUUGUGCAUCCAUUAUUGUCAUGUGACAAAUCCAUGAAUUUGUGCAAGUUUGAUUUGAUGAAUAUAAAGAGAUUUGAAUGUUUGUUUCUAUGGACACGAAAACCCUUUUGGUUUGACAUGUUUGAUUUACUAAAACACUUUGGCGUAAGUAAUCAAACUCGUGUGUUCAAACCUGGAAUUUAUUAUUUUAGGUUGAUAUGUGCGGAACUCAAGCAUCCUAAAUUUUAUGUGACAAAUUUAUGUCUGUUUGAUGUUUGGCCUCUGAAAUUUAAAGACUCUGUUUAUAAUUUAAAAUUGUUCUUUGAUCAUUUUAUGUGGCUGUCCAUGAAAUUCAUUUUUCAUUUCGAAAAGGUAAGAUCAACUCAUGUUUUUGAACCUGGUAUCGUUACAUAUGUUCAAUAUGUGAAUAGUGUUUUAGCCUGUUCCUUUGAGUUCAACGUCUAUGGAGACAUUACCCUCUUUCAGCAUUAUGAACCCAACACUUCGAAAAGUGCAAGUUGCCUUUGUGUUUACCCUUCGUUUCAGGUUUUUCAAGGAUUGUGUAAUGAGCUUCGACUUCAAUACCCUCUCAAGGAGAAAAGGUUCACUUUGAUUGAAAAAGGUAAAAUUGAUUCUCAAUUUUCCACUCCUAAAGGUGAAUCAGGUAUGAAUUCUGAUGUUAUGCGACCAUCUUCUCUUAAGUCGAAUGUAACUAAAAUUUUUGAAGACACCUUGAUUGCUGAAAAUCGUUUGAAUCCUGUUGUGGUUAAUUAUUUGAUUUUGCUUGAUGAUGAUAAAUCCAUUUUGAGUAAUGAUAAGACGAUUUUUCUCUUUGGAAAAUGUGAUGAAUUCAUUGUUGAGAACAUAACCAAACGACAAUUGCGAGUGCCAAACAUGCGAAAUCAUGAAUCAUAUGAAACUUUUCAUUUGUGUGUUUGUGAUGAAGAUUUAAAUUUCUUGUUCCAUUACUCGCAUUCCAUUUACUUGAACAAUGACUUGUGGAAGCAAAUUGAAAGGUUUGAAUGCUUAAAAACAUAUUUGUCUUUGUCUCGACCAUUUGAUGAGUUAUGGAUAUGGAAGGAGUUUUGUCCAUAUGAUUGUAAGAAUGAUGUUUUAAGUUUGCCUUUUUACAUAACUCAUACUUGUCUUGUUAUGACCAUGCAUGAUCCACAUAGUUGUUCUGAUCAUUUCUUGAUGAUUAAUGGUUGUCUAUUUUCAUUGAUUCAUUUGCCAUCUCUAAUGCCAAAUAUUGUGAGUUCUUUUGCAAAGGCUUAUGAACGACUAAUUGUUCCAUUCAUUCAAGGAGAGUUGCAAAAGACGGAUUAUUUUCUAGAGAAUAAACAGCUCGACUUGAGGACAAGUCGUUUUAAAGAAGGGGGGAAUGAUGUGACCACGCCCCAAGCCCCAUCAAGUCCUCGUCUUGAUUCCCUCGAGCUUCCAAAGGGACCAAUGACCCGAGCUAGGUCCAAGCGAUUUCAUGAAGUUGUUUCAGCUUUGUUGUUCAAGUUUUGGAAGGAGAAUCAGCUUGUUGAAGAUGAGGAAGCUCGAUCCAACUCCUUGAAGAAACCAUGCACCUUAGUGCAAGCUAAUUUCAGCUCCAUUUUAGCUUUUCUAGCUCAUUUCAACUCCGACCAGCUCAAUUGAGCUCAUUUCAGCUCAAUCGAGCUCAAUUUAGCUACAAUUCAGCUCAUUUAUUUUAUUGGUUGAAUAAUUAAAGUAUUUUAUUAACUUAGUUUAAGUUAUUACAGCUCAUAAUUAUGUUUUGAUUUAUUUCAUGCUUUUAAAGUUGUCUUAGCCAAAUAUAAUAUGUUUAGCUUAAGACUUUAUUUUUGUCUAUUUUAAAUUUAUGUGUUAAUUAAUAUAUCUAUUUUAAUUAAUUUGUUCAUGUUUCAUGUAGGUACAGCCGAAUGUGGAGAUUCAUUCAAGCUAGGUGCAUGAACGUCUACUUACAAUGCAUGAUGUGGGAACACAAUUAAAGAUGAUUCAUGAAUGGGCUGGUUCAAUGAACGUAAGGAUGAUGCAUGAAUGAUUUAAUACAAUGAAUGGAAGAAUGCAUGAAUGUUCACUUACAUGCAUCGGUUGCUGUCCAUUGAUCUCCUAAGUACCUAUUCAGCCAAAAGGCAUCUCUUGGAGUGUCCAUUCACACCUUGGCCGAACCUAGACAUGUCCAUUGCUCUCCCAUACAUUCACCAAGCCUUCAAGUUCAUUUUCUUAGCCAUGAAGCUGCCCAUUGAAGUACCAUUCAGCUGAAUUUGGACAUAGCCUUUAAAGAUACAUUUCUAGAUUAGUUUAAUUCAAUUAAAGCCGAAUUUACUUAGUCUAUUUGGCUAUCUAAUGUAAUCUAUAAAUAGUUCUUUUCUCUUUGUAAAAAGGUUACAGAAUUUGAUCAAUUAAAAUUAAUAGAACUUUUGUUCUUGUGAGGUUACCUCCUCUCUUCUUUCGUUCGAGUCUCGAAGCGACUUAUCUAGCUUGCUAGUGGUGUCAAUCCGAACUCCAUUGAACUUAUCACCGAAUCGGUGUGGCGUUCAACCAUCUUCCUAUACCUUUGGUUCUUACCUCCAUAUAGGUAACGGGUCAAGGUCCGCUUCUAUCCUUCAUCAAAAUUCACCUUAAGCAAUAUAAGACUCGGGGCAAUACUUUUUAGUAUUGAAUCAUUCUUAAAGUUUGAGUUCUUUAUCCAUUUCCAUUUAUUUAACAUCUUUGUAACUUAAUUCUUUGUUAAACUGAACCUAUCUUUCAUCAAACCAAAACCCAUCCUUUGAACCCAUUUUUCCUACCUUCCGCUUAUAAAACAUUCAAACUCUAUCUAUCUACAAAUUUGAACGAGCUUCUCGUCGAUGAUCGGGCAUCUUAAGUGAACCCGACUCAAUUAAUCGGGCCGGAUCACAUCAGAUGGUGGGGCGAUAGAUCUUUCUCUUGUAUUUAGGACUAACGAUAUAAUUUCAUAUUCAGGGAGUUCCAUUCCAGUGUCCAGCUAUGAAAUAACAGUCCUAAGGCCCUCCAGUUCCAUUGAGAUAGCUACGGGAUGAGAUAGGUAAAUUCUUUGCUAGGUUGGAGUUUUCCUCCAUGGAAAAACCUUCUCGUCUCUUUGAGAUUUGAUAUAGAGUUCCCAUUGAGUGGGACUAACCCAGAAGAACCACAUCUGUCUCAAGCUGACCCGACCUUCUUACAUCUCAAAUUUGCUUUCCCUAGAAUAAAGAUCUAGUGCGCCUAUCUUGGGAAAGUUCCUUCCUGCUUUGCUUUCUCUGGGAAUUUCUGAGUUGGAAUUGUAAAAUAACUUUUUCAAAGAGAGAGUAGCGAGGAGAAGGCAAUCCAACCUUACAUUGGUAUAAGAUAUUGACUAUUGGGAUAAAUUUCAUCUUUCUAUCCGAAGUUUUAGGGGAAGAUAGUUCUUUUAUCAACCAAUUGCGAUUCAAUGUGGGAAUACACGGCGAAAGGCGCAUCUCUUCCAAAGCUAUUGCUUUUUAAGCUGAACUCUGCUAUCAGACUUUGAUAUUCGUAGAUCUAAGAUUUCUGGGGUAAGGACUGACUUAGGCUUAGUGAAUAUCUUUGCUUUUCAAUAGUACGAUCUUCGGCAUAUGAAGAGAUAUUUUUUUUAAGUUUCUUUUCUUAAUCAUCUGGGAAUGAAGAGGAUGAUAAGUUGACUUCUUUCUUCCCUUCCAUUUCAUCCUUUUCACUUAGAAGCGAUCCACUUUAUAUAUAAAUAACACCUGUGCUAAUGAUUUCUUUCAUGCAGUAAACAGGGUCAAGUGAGUGAACAAGACAUUUAUUUUUCAAGCCAACAGGGAAGACUAACUGAAGGGAGUAAUAUGCCAGUAGCAGUCCCCAUAACUUAAACUAUAUUCUUCUCUGAUAUCAUAGAUCGAGCGAGGGCCUAUCUUUGCUGACUCAUAUCUAGUAUGAGGGUGAGUUGCCACCCAUAUACUUUUAGGGCUAGCUUCCAUUCAUUCUAAUCUUGUCAUUCCCUCUUCUA
rnacentral:lncRNA from 1 species